rnacentral:lncRNA from 1 species
UCUUAAUUGAAAAUACUUCAUACUGGAUUUGAUAUUCUUUUUUUCAUUAUGUAUACAUUUAUGCAUAUAUAAUAAAUUAUAGAAUUAUUUUAUUUAUGUUAAAGAUUGUUUGUCUAUUAUGUCCCUCCAUCAUUCUGGACUUCUAGCAUCUUACUCACAUGCUCCUUUGCCUCCUAUAUGUGCUGGAUUAUCACCACAAAAAUUGCUGCUGGUAUCAGAACAUCCUGAUGUUUUACACAAUUGUUAUGAUGAUGAAAAAAUUUUUAUAAUAAUAAAAUUUUAUCACUUGGCCAAUCUGACAGAACCCAUAAACACAAGGUGGUUAUAAUUAAAGUGACAGUGCUCACGCAUAUUUGGGCCUGUUCUGGUUGA